rnacentral:rRNA from 1 species
CAGUAGCCGCGGUAAUACGUAGGGGGCAAGCGUUAUCCGGAUUUACUGGGUGUAAAGGGAGCGUAGACGGCAAAUAAAGUCUGAAGUGAAAGCCCGCAGCUCAACUGCGGGGUUGCUUUGGAAACUUAUAAGCUGGAGUGUCGGAGGGGUAAGCGGAAUUCCCAGUGUAGCGGUGAAAUGCGUAGAUAUUGGGAGGAACACCGGCGGCGAAGGCGGCUUACUGGACGACAACUGACGUUGAGGCUCGAAGGCGUAGGUAGCAAACAGGAUUAGAUACCCCGGUAGUCCCUGUCUCUUAUAC